UCCAACAGGAGGUGACAUACUAGGAGAGAGACCUAUGCCCAGGGAAGGAGCAAAGAGUUCUUGGAGAGGAGGCCUGGGGAUUCUCAGUCCUGGCAGCCCAUAGAUUUUGGACUGAAGCCUUUUUCUCAUUGCCUUCAAGAUACCUUGAAUAUCAUCUUUGAUUCUUAAGGUACAAAUGGUUGGACAGUUCGGUGCCUUCAGAUCCUGGAAUUUUUUCUCAUCAGUUUCUAAGCUGCUUCACAAACCAGAAGUGUGUGGGAAACUAUGGCUGAGUCAGCUCUUCCUCUUUCUCCUUUCCCUGCCUUUCUUCCUUAUCC